GUCGUCGUGGCCGAGUGGUUAAGGCGACAGACUUGAAACUGUUGGGCUCUGCCCGCACAGGUUCGAAUCCUGUCGGCGACG
rnacentral:tRNA from 1 species